GAAUAACACCUCCAUAGGAUGGAGAGAACACGGUGCGCUCAGCUCGGUGUGAGCAGUGUGGCUCAGCGGUGCAGCCCACAGCCGGGAUUUUCUCUUCUAGGAUGGAGGCAUUCUGUGGAAGGGCUCUAGGUGGAAAUGUUUUCCUGCACAGCAGCAAGAGGUGAAGGAAUAUGAAGUGCUAGAGAAGCUUGUCAUCUAGACAGCUGUCCACCUGUACUGCCAUCAGUGCUGCGUGGGCUGAUACUGUGGGUUGUGGUACCCUGCAGUUAGGGAGACAGACCAAAGUAACUUGCCAUUCGUGCUCUGAAGCCAUGUCAUUUUCUUCCGUACAGAAAGUAAGCGAGCAGCAGAGCUGGAAACCUUGGCAGUAAAGUCUUCGUCUUUCCUGCUUGUAUCCAUGGAUCCUGGAUUUUGCAAGCUGUAUUAGAUGCUUUAAUGCAAGUACCUGUUCCAUCAGAUGACCUUGCUUCACUAGUGGUCUGCAACAAGCUACAGUGUUAAAACUGUUGAUAUGAAGAUAAUAGUCUGGAGCAGAGAAGUGGUGGAAGAUUCCCACCAAAAGAGUGAGCAAUGAGCCGUUUCAACUUGGUGCAGUGAUCAACUCCAGGACUUUAACGCACUAAGUCUUAAGG